UUCUACAAGUGACAUAAAAUAUAUCGCCGGAGCUUAAAUUCCCUUUUAAUAUCAGCCGGUACGCAACUCUGUCCCAGCUUGUAGGAGUCUGGCUCCACUUUUGACGGCGCCGUUUGUCCUCUUCCAUGAAAGCUCUCAGUGCGUGGCACUGGAUCAACUAUGUCGCUGAAGCACUUCCAUAGCGGUUGCUUUACCUUCUGCUCCUGAACUGGAUGAUAAUUGGCUGGUGUGAGAAGGAUGAUUACGAUGCUUCAAGGGGUGAUCAAGCUGAAUGGAGUGGGUGGCUUCUACCACAUUUGGUCUAUGUGGGAUGAUAAUGUGGCUGAUAGUGUGAAUGUGAUUAGCCAGGAGGAUGAUUGUAAUGCUUCACGGGAAGAUCAAGCUGAAAGGAGUGGGCGGUGGUAUGGAAUUGCCAGGUUAUGAGAGUGAAAAGCCACAAACAUAUAUGAAAGGGCCGGGGUAAAGAGUAGAGCUAUUGUUGAUGGGGCUCCAUCGACCAGCAAUGACUUCUGAAGUAUCAGAGCAUCGUAAAUUAAAGCUACCUUCAAGAUCUAAACCAUUGGAGACUUUGGAAAACAAUUAUAGACAGGUAUAUGGUUGCUCAGUGUCCUUGGUGAUAUCAAUUUUAUGUUUUUUUCCAUUGUCAUAGGCGAUCGCUAUUUAAUCAAUUAUGGGUAACCAGAAUCCUGGGGACAUUGGCAAGGUUUAGAGUGUCAAUGAAUUGCAUGAAAAUUCAAAUCUUCGAUCCAAAAUCAGGGCUGGGUAUUGGUGAGGGUGGGAGUCAACCAGUGGAGAGACAAGUUAAGCGUCCGAAACUGAAUUUGAAGCCAUGGUUGCGGCCUUUUGAUUAAUCUGAUGCCAGUCUAGAAAGAGAAAGAUCUGUAAAAUUGCUCCAGAUCUGAUAUGUCAGUUCUUAUUUUAUUCCAUAUUUUAGAGACGAAAGCUGCAAUGAGAUAAUGUUUGAUCUAAAA